rnacentral:sRNA from 1 species
CCCAGGCAGCUUGUGGCGGCGAAGGCAUCGGUGUUCGCUGAUGUCCAGUCUAUGGAGUCAGUUGGUACCGGUGGCGGCGCGGAGGCAGAAGGCGGUGUCCGAGUAGGGGCCUCUGCCCCACCAGGAUGUUACCGGGCUUGGCCGCCGCCGCGGCCCACAGAUGUAGCUGGUCCUCCCUGUGCCGGCUCCGUCUGCGAUGCAGGGCGGCGGCCUGUAACCCCAGCGACCGCCAGGAGUGGCAGAAUUUAGUGACAUUUGGAAGCUUUUCAAACAUGGUUCCCUGUAGUCAUCCAUAUAUUGGUACACUGAGUCAAGUAAAGUUGUACUCCACAAAUGUUCAGAAAGAAGGACAGGGAUCACAAACACUCAGAGUGGAAAAAGUACCAUCAUUUGAAACAGCAGAAGGUAUAGGCGCAGAACUCAAAGCUCCACUUAAGCAAGAACCUCUCCAAGUAAGAGUUAAAGCAGUCCUUAAGAAAAGGGAGUAUGGAUCAAAGUACACUCAGAAUAAUUUCAUCACUGGAGUCAGAGCGAUAAAUGAGUUCUGCCUCAAAUCCAGGUAAUUUUUAAAAAAAAUGUAGCCGUGUGUCAUAUCUAAAUAAUCUAAAUAACUACUCCUUUCUUAGAGUGUGUUACCUGCUACCAUCCAUAUAUGGAAAAUUUGCUACUGGCUCCUUAAAAUGAAGAGAUAUUUUUAUUCAGUCAAAAAUGUUAAAAAUUGUUAGCAAACUAAACUGAAUCCUGCCCCAGCAUUAGCAAUUCUAGUCUUUCUUAGUUUCUUAAAUCCACAAUGGUAAAUUCUUCAAAACCUUUCCAUCA